rnacentral:piRNA from 1 species
UGGAAGUCAAAAAGCUUAUACACUCCUGC